CGCUAAGAAGCUAAACUGGUAAUAAGCGUUAGCCUUUUAAGCUAAACUUUGGUGACUACCCACCACCCCUAGCGA
rnacentral:tRNA from 1 species